AGAGCUCACGUCAUCCCCCUGGGCUAAUCUCGGCUCGGAGACAGUUUAUACUCAAGCAAAACAGCAGGGACAUGGGGAAAACACCCCCCGGUAUUUGUUUAAAGCGGCUGAUGGAAAUAGUUCAGCUCUUCAGCCCAGUUUUAAAGGAAGCCGUCUCUCCCCAAGAUCUCAAUCAGCCACAAGGCUAACGGGGAAGCUUCAGACUGUAAAUCAAGAAGAAAAGCCAGGAGAGAUUCAAAUCUUCCCCCCCCCAAAGCUUUGAUCUUCCUUCAAACGCUCCUGCGGCUUGUAGGAGGUUUUACAUCAGGGAACUCUAAACCAAACCAA